rnacentral:rRNA from 1 species
GACGAACGCUGGCGGCGUGCUUAACACAUGCAAGUCGAGCGGGGCGGCGAACGGGGGAGUAACGCGUGAGUAACUGCCCCCCUCUCUGGGAUAACAGUUGGAAACGGCUGCUAAUGCCGGAUAGUGGGGGAUGACUCGCGUCCUAUCAGCUUGUUGGUUGGGUAGUUGCCGACCAAGGCGACGACGGGUAGCCGGCCUGAGAGGGCGACCGGCCACAUAGGGCUACGAGACGGACCAAUAUCCUACGGGAGGCAACAGUGGGGAAUCUUACGCAAUGGCGGCAACCCUGAUGAAGCAGCGCCGCGUGCGUGAAGACGGGUUGCGGGUUGUAAACCGCUUUCAGCCAUGACGCGGUAGUGGCAGAAGAAGCACCGGCUAACUACGUGCCAGCAGCCGCGGUAAUAC